UUUGAACGCUGGCGGCAGGCUUAACACAUGCAAGUCGAGCGGAGAUGAGGUGCUUGCACCUUAUCUUAGCGGCGGACGGGUGAGUAAUGCUUAGGAAUCUGCCUAUUAGUGGGGGACAACAUUCCGAAAGGAAUGCUGAUACCGCAUACGUCCUACGGGAGAAAGCAGGGGAUCUUCGGACCUUGCGCUAAUAGAUGAGCCUAAGUCGGAUUAGCUAGUUGGUGGGGUAAAGGCCUACCAAGGCGACGAUCUGUAGCGGGUCUGAGAGGAUGAUCCGCCACACUGGGACUGAGACACGGCCCAGACUCCUACGGGAGGCAGCAGUGGGGAAUAUUGGACAAUGGGGGGAACCCUGAUCCAGCCAUGCCGCGUGUGUGAAGAAGGCCUUAUGGUUGUAAAGCACUUUAAGCGAGGAGGAGGCUACUGAGACUAAUACUCUUGGAUAGUGGACGUUACUCGCAGAAUAAGCACCGGCUAACUCUGUGCCAGCCGCCGCUGUAAAAC
rnacentral:rRNA from 1 species